UUGGUGUUGCCACGUUGAGGUGUCCCGUGCGAAGGGCUCAGCGUGGUGAUGAUGGGCACGAUCCGCUUUUAGCCGGGUUAGCCGUUCAGUGAUCGGCGUCCGAGAGUUGCCGCUCUCGGGCGCCGUUG
rnacentral:ncRNA from 15 species